rnacentral:rRNA from 1 species
CCUACGUGAGGCUGCAGUGGGGAAUAUUGGGCAAUGGGCGCAAGCCUGAACCAGCCAAGCCGCGUGAAGGACGAAGGUGCCAAGCAUUGUAAACUUCUUUUGUCAAGGGACAAAAUCAGGCUCGAGAGCCUGACCGAGGGUACUUGAAGAAAAAGCAUCGGCUAACUCCGUGCCAGCAGCCGCGGUAAUACGGAGGAUGCGAGCGUUAUCCGGAUUUAUUGGGUUUAAAGGGUGCGUAGGCGGACUGUUAAGUCAGCGGUAAAAGCCCGGGGCUCAACCCCGGCGAGCCGUUGAAACUGGCUGUCUUGAGAUGUCGAGAGGUAUGCGGAAUGCGCAGUGUAGCGGUGAAAUGCUUAGAUAUCACGCAGAACUCCGAUUGCGAAGGCAGCAUACCGGCGCUCAACUGACGCUCAUGCACGAAAGCGUGGGUAUCGAACAGGAUUAGAUACCCUGGUAGUC